GUCGAACGCUGGCGGCGUGCUUAACACAUGCAAGUCGAACGGAGUGGCGAGCGGGUGAGUAACACGUGGGUGAGCUGCCCUGCACUUCGGGGUAAGCCUGGGAGAAAGGGGUGAAUAACGGAGAGUGUGGGAUGGGACCGGGGCCUAUGAGAUUGGUGGGGGGGUAGUGGCCUACCGAGGCGGCGACGGGUAGCCGGCCUGGGAGGGUGGACGGCCACAUGGGGCCUGAGACACGGCCCAGACGCCUACGGGAGGCAGCAGUGGGGAAUCUUGCACAAUCGGCGGAAGCCUGAUGCAGCGACGCCGCGUGGGGGAUGACGGCCUUCGGGUUGUAAACUCCUUUCACCAUCGACGCGGUAGCUGGAGAAGAAGCACCGGCUAACUACGUGCCAGCAGCCGCGGUAAUAC
rnacentral:rRNA from 1 species